rnacentral:rRNA from 1 species
GUGUCAGCAGCCGCGCGGUAAGACGGAGGAUGCAAGUGUUAUCCGGAAUCACUGGGCGUAAAGCGUCUGUAGGUUGUUUAGUAAGUCAACUGUUAAAUCUUGAAGCUUAACUUCAAAAUCGCAGUCGAAACUAGUAGACUAGAGUAUAGUAGGGGUAAAGGGAAUUUCCAGUGGAGCGGUGAAAUGCGUAGAGAUUGGGAAGAACACCGAUGGCGAAGGCACUUUACUGGGCUAUUACUGACACUCAGAGACGAAAGCUAGGGUAGCAAAUGGGAUUAGAUACCCCAGUAGUCCUAGCCGUAAACAAUGGAUACUAGAUGUUGAACAGAUCGACCUGUGCAGUAUUAAAGCUAACGCGUUAAGUAUCCCGCCUGGGGAGUACGACCGCAAGGUUAAAACUCAAAUGAAUUGACGGGGACCCGCACAAGUAGUGGAGCAUGUGGUUUAAUUCGAAGAUACGCGCAGAACCUUACCAACACUUGACAUGUUCGUCGCGGCUCUAAGAGAUUAGAGCUUUCGGUUCGGCCGGACGAAACACAGGUGCUGCAUGGAAUCCAUAUG